AGGUCUACAGGUCUACAGAUCUACAGGUCUACAGAUCUACAGGUCUACAGAUCUACAGAUCUACAGAUCUACAGAUCUACAAGUCUACAAGUCUACAGGUCUACAGGUCUACAAGUUUACAGGUCGACAAGUGUACAGUUCUACAAGUCUACAGGUCCACAGGUCUACAGAUCUACAUGUCUACAGGUCUACAGGUCUACAUGUCUACAUGUCUACAUGUCUACAUGUCUACAUGUCUACAUGUCUACAUGUCUACAGAUCUACAGCUCUACAGCUCUACAAGUCUACAAGUCUACAAGU